CCCUCUCUCUUUCAGCAGAACUGAGCAGAGGCUCUGAGCUCCCUGUGAUUAAUCACUGAGCUGCAGCAGUGAGUGAGUGAAAGUUCAAUCAGAACUGUGUUUGCUGAUGAAACCCAACUGCAGGAGCCAGAGGCCAGAAGCACAGCCCUACUUCCUAAUUACAUGUCGACAGGAGUUUGAAUUCACACCGUCCCCACUACCAGAGUUCUGAAUCUUCAUUCUCCCUUAUCCCAUAAUUCCUUUAGCCAGUCAUUUGUCAGUGGGUGUUGGGGCUGCUCCCACUCUUUGGCAAUUGUGAACCAUGUAGCUGUGAACAUAGGGGAAACUCCGUAAUAACUGGAAUAACUGGUCUAUUCACCUUUGCAAAAACAACCAGAGAACCCGAAACAGACUCGCAGGAAGAAUCUUCCGUAAUCUGGGCCAGGAAAGAUGACGCUGAGAGAGAUGGGGCCACAGUUAGGAGCUGCGCUGAGAGAAGAUGGAGGAGCAAGGAGAUGGAAAAUUUAAUAAUCACAUUAAAAAAUUAAACGCCGGGCCCCAGCGGUUGUCACUUUCCAUCCGCUGA